rnacentral:sRNA from 1 species
UACCGGUGAUCUGACAACGAUUCCGCCCC